rnacentral:rRNA from 1 species
UACGAGGGGGGCGAGCGUUGUUCGGAAUUAUUGGGCGUAAAGGGUGCGUAGGCGGUUUGGUAAGUCUUGUGUGAAAUCUACAGGCUCAACUUGUAGUCUGCACGAGAAACUGCCGGGCUUGAGUGUGGGAGAGGUGAGUGGAACUGCGAGUGUAGAGGUGAAAUUCGUAGAUAUUCGCAAGAACACCAGUGACGAAGGCGGCUCACUGGCCCGGUACUGACGCUGAGGUGCGAAAGCGUGGGGAGCAAACAGG